rnacentral:rRNA from 1 species
GACGAACGCUGGCGGCGUGCUUAACACAUGCAAGUCGAGCGGUAAGGCCCUUUCGGGGGUACACGAGCGGCGAGCGGGUGAGUAACACGUGGGUGACCUGCCCUCAGCUCUGGGAUAAGCCUGGGAAACCGGGUCUAAUACUGGAUAUGACUCCAUGACGCACGUUGUGGGGUGGAAAGCCUUGUGCGGCUGAGGAUGGGCCCGCGGCCUAUCAGCUUGUUGGUGGGGUGANGGCCUACCAAGGCGACGACGGGUAGCCGGCCUGAGAGGGCGACCGGCCACACUGGGACUGAGACACGGCCCAGACUCCUACGGGAGGCAGCAGUGGGGAAUCUUGCGCAAUGGGCGAAAGCCUGACGCAGCGACGCCGCGUGAGGGAUGACGGCCU